rnacentral:rRNA from 1 species
GACGAACGCUGGCGGCGUGCCUAAUACAUGCAAGUCGAACGCAGUGGGGACGGGUGAGUAACACGUGGGUAACCUCCCAUCAGAGGGGAUAACACAUGGAAACAGGUGCUAAACUGAUACUGAUGGAUGGACCCGCGGUGCAUUAGCUAGUUGGUGAGGUAACGGCUCACCAAGGACACGAUGCAUAGCCGACCGUAGGGUGUGAUCUGCCAAACUGGGACAGAGACACGGCACAGACGCCUACGGCAGGCAACAGUAGAGGAGCUUCAGAAAGGAACGACAGACUGACCGCACAACGCCGCGUGCGUGAAGAGGGUUUUCGGAUCAUAAAACUCUGUUGUUAUUGAAGCGGUAUCUAACAAGAAAGCCACGACGAAGUACUAGCCAGCAGCCGCGGUAAUU